AUGGGGGGCGACACCGGGGCGCAGAAGGGGGGAGAAUCCAUAUGGAGGGUCCGGCCGGGUUGGCUCACUCAGGGCACCCCCUCGCUGUUGCAUACACGUGGCUCAUCCCACACUGCCGUUCUCAUCCCGUUCCCCGUGGGCUGGCAGCGCUCCGGGGCCCCGCUCUGGCUCAGGGCCAGGCAGCAGCGCGCUCCGCCCCACCAGCAGCACGCAGCGGCUGCCGGGACGGGGCUGAUGCCGUUGCUCCGAGCCGUGCCGUGCCGUGCCGAGUCGAGCCGAGCCGCCGUCCCGUGCGUCCCAGUCCCGAGGGCUCCUGUCCCACUGCGUCCCAGCAUGGCGUCAGCGUGGCUCGGAGCCGUGGCGGUGCUGCUGUGCACGGUGCUGGGCGUUGGGUGGGCUGAGGCGCAGCCCUUUCCUUUCCGAGACCCGACGCUGCCCUGGCACCGCCGCCUGGAGGACCUGCUGGGCCGGCUGACCCCCGCCGAGAUGGUGCUGCAGAUGGCGAGGGGGGGAGCCCUGGGGAACGGCCCCGCGCCCCCCAUCCCACGCCUGGGCAUUGCGCCCUACAACUGGAACACCGAGUGCCUGCGGGGCGAUGCAGAGGCGCCCGGGUGGGCCACAGCUUUCCCCCAAGCACUGGGGCUGGCCGCUGCCUUCAGCCCCGAGCUUGUGUACCGAGUGGCCAACGCCACGGCCACCGAGGUGCGUGCCAAGCACAACUCCUUCGUCGCCGCCGGCCGCUACGAUGACCACACGGGGCUCAGCUGCUUCAGUCCUGUGCUCAACAUCAUGAGGCACCCGCUGUGGGGCAGGAACCAGGAGACGUACGGGGAGGAUCCGUACCUGACAGCAGAGCUGGCCACGAGCUUCGUGCAGGGGCUGCAGGGUCAGCACCCCCGCUACAUCAAGGCCAGUGCUGGCUGCAAGCACUUCAGCGUGCACGGUGGCCCCGAGAACAUCCCUGUCUCCAGGCUCAGCUUCGAUGCCAAGGUGCUGGAGCGGGACUGGCACACCACCUUCCUGCCCCAGUUCCAGGCAUGCGUGCGUGCCGGGUCCUACAGCUUCAUGUGCAGCUACAACAGGAUCAACGGCGUCCCUGCCUGCGCCAACAAGAAGCUGCUGACGGACAUCCUACGGGGCGAGUGGGGCUUCGAGGGCUAUGUGGUGAGCGACGAGGGGGCUGUGGAGCUCAUCCUGCUGGGGCACCGCUACACACACACCUUCCUGGAGACGGCCAUUGCGUCGGUGAACGCCGGCCUCAACCUGGAGCUGUCCUACGGCAUGAGGAACAACGUCUUCAUGCACAUCCCCAAGGCCUUGGCCAUGGGCAACAUCACGCUGGAGAUGCUGCGUGACCGCGUCCGGCCCCUCUUCUACACGCGGCUGCGGCUGGGGGAGUUCGACCCCCCGGCCAUGAACCCCUACAACGCCCUGGAGCUGAGCGUGGUGCAGAGCUCUGAGCACCGCAACCUCUCUCUGGAGGCAGCCAUCAAGAGCUUCGUGCUGCUGAAGAACCAGCGGGACACGCUGCCGCUCCGCGAGCUGCACGGCAAGCGCCUGGCGGUGGUGGGUCCCUUUGCGGACAACCCCCGUGUGCUGUUUGGGGACUACGCGCCAGUGCCAGAGCCACAGUAUAUCUACACACCACGGAGGGGGCUGCAGACACUGCCAGCCAACGUCAGCUUUGCUGCGGGCUGCCGGGAGCCGCGGUGCUGGGUGUACUCACGGGAUGAGGUGGAGAACGCGGUGCGGGGAGCUGAUGUGGUGCUGGUGUGCCUGGGGACGGGGAUAGAUGUGGAGAUGGAGGCGAGGGACCGCAAGGACCUGUCCCUGCCUGGACAUCAGCUGCAGCUGCUGCAGGAUGCUGUGCGUGCAGCUGCCGGGCACCCCGUCAUCCUGCUGCUGUUCAACGCGGGGCCUCUGGAUGUGAGCUGGGCGCAGCUGCAUGACGGCGUGGGGGCCAUCCUGGCCUGCUUCUUUCCUGCUCAGGCCACCGGCCUGGCCAUCGCCAGCGUCCUGCUGGGCAAGCAGGGGGCCAGCCCUGCAGGCAGGCUGCCAGCCACGUGGCCUGCAGGCAUGCAUCAAGUGAGGGCAGGGCACAGCUUCUCGGUGGCCACGGGGAGUCGCUGGGGACCGUGCUCACACCUGAUGGCACUGCUCUGCCCGCAGGUGCCCCCAAUGGAGAACUACACCAUGGAGGGUCGGACGUACCGCUACUACGGGCAGGAAGCCCCACUCUACCCCUUUGGGUACGGGCUGUCCUACACCACCUUCCACUACCGGGACCUGGUGCUGAGCCCCCCGGUGCUGCCCAUCUGCGCCAACCUCUCCGUGUCGGUGGUGCUGGAGAACACGGGGCCACGUGACAGCGAGGAGGUGGUGCAGCUGUAUCUGCGUUGGGAGCAGCCAUCUGUGCCGGUGCCGCGCUGGCAGCUGGUGGCUUUCCGCCGUGUGGCAGUACCAGCUGGUGGUGCCACCAAGCUGUCCUUUGGGGUGACGGCUGCUCAGCGUGCCGUCUGGAUGCAGCAGUGGCACCUGGAGCCCGGAGCCUUCACCCUCUUUGCUGGUGGGCAGCAGCCGGGGCAGCAGACGCGGGCACCCUCGGAGGUGUUGAGCGCAAAGUUCAGUGUCAGUGGGGCUGCCCGGGCGCUGCACAGCUGCUAGAGGUGGGGAUGGGUGUGGGGAUGGGUCCUGGGGCGUGGGGAGCUGGAGGAAGGAUGAGGUGCAGUGGCUGUGCAGCAAAGGGGGAGCGUGGUGCUCUGCCUUGCAAUAAAGUGCCCUCUGCCCUCUAAGAGGCUGUGUCCAGCCAACGUGCUGUGUGCAUGCCCUAUGGGUGCCUGUAGCCACACGGUAGUGCCACCCCAACACCCCUCAUCCCAUUUCAGAGCACCUAGAGCUGGGUCCAGCACUCUAGCCCGUGCAGGGCCAACUUCAUGCUGCACUUUUGCCCCCCAACCCCCUCUCCUUGUCUUGCUGUCCCCAUGGGCUGUGCAGCCACCCUCCCUUCUGGGGAUGGAUCCAGCCCUGCCCUGCUUGGGGCUGGGGGGAGGCGCUCCCCCCUCAGUGCAGGGAAUGUGCUGGAGCUGGCCCAGGCGGCUGGGCAGCUAUAAAUAGGGCCGGGGCACACGUGGGUCUGGCGGCUGCGGGGAAUGGGAUGGGUGCGGGGCUGCAGCCAUGUUCUGGGGGGGGGCACAGGGGUUCGGGAUCGUCUGGGGAUGGCACUGUGGGGAAACGAUUCCCCCCCAACCCCUGAGCCAUGGGGCAGGAGGAUGAGGUGGGGCGUGCAGGGACCGUGUGAGGCAGCCCAGCUCCAGCACCAUGACAUCAGGGCACUAAUUACAGAUGCUGCCUGGGAUAAUUACAGAGCUGGGGCAGGGCAGGACUCAGCCUGAUGCAGGCCAAUUUAUCACCAGCCCCCACCAGGCAUCAUCCCGCAGCAGCCCCAUAGCAAGGAGCUCAAGGCACAGACCCUCACCCCCAGGAUAUCAUAGCCAUCGGGGUCAGCAUUUUGGGGUUCAGCUCGGCCUUGGUAUGCAGAGCUAUGGGGUGGGAGCAGCCUGGGGAGGGGGCAAAGUCCUGGGGCUGGAGGAGGAGGUGUGAGGCGGAGGGGUCAGGAUGGGAUGUCCUGCAGCACUUUGCUCCGUGAUGUCAGCCCCGCCAGCAGGGCUUUGUUUGCCACUCUCCCAUCCCUGUUUGCACCCAUCCUGCCACGGUCACGGGGCAGUGCUGCAGCUGUAAUUACCCUUCGAUUUUGGGGGUGCUCAGAACCCUGCGGGCAGUGAAACUGAGUGGUUGGGAUGAGGUUCUGGAGCCAAUUGUGGGGCUGGGCUGGGCUGGGCCGGGGGGGGGGGAGCUGUGGCAGCCCCCUCUCCAUGGAGCAGGGCUGGGGGUCGUACCCUGGGUCAGGGGUCUGGGCAGCACAGAGGGCUUUGGGGAGCGCAGCCAAAUGGUGCGGCUCCGGGUGUGCAGUGCUGGUGAUGAGCUCAUUGAUUUUUCCGUGAGCUCGGGAAGGGCGGCAGUUCCCAGCAUCCAUGGGAACGGGGUGGGGGGGGGAGGGAGGGCUGGACCCAGGGAGGGCUGGACCCAGCACCCCCAGCAGCAGCGCUGUGCCUGCAGCAGAGCAAUCGAUGGCAGUGCAGCUGCUCGUAGGAGGCACUGAGUGGGGCUGGCACAGCUCUGCAGUGCUGCUGCCCUGGACCCCUGCCCCACACUGCCCUGUGCUGGGGGACCGUGGACCCGCAGCACUGCGGUGCUCUGGGUGAUCGCAGGCUGUUCCCCAGUGCCACCCUGAGACUUACGGGGCACCCCAUCCCCUCGGGGGCUGUGCAGCUGCUGGGAAUGUGGGGAAAAUCCCAGCUCUGAGCCAGGCCAGGAGCCCAUGGGGUGCAGUCGGCGAUGCCAAGAGAGGGGCACACAGUUGUGGUGUGGGUGGUCACACAUGGUGGCACCGAGCAGGUCCCUGCUGGUGCCCUGUGCCCCCUUCCCUCCUGGUUCCAGCCCAAGGGUGUGCCAAGCUGUGCAUCCCCAUCUGAUCCGUGCACAGAGGUGACCCCCCCAGACCUGGCCAGCCGCCUCACCCCUUUGUCAGCUCUGGGCCUGCCCGCUCCCAUCCCGGAGUCAGAGGAACACAUUCAUGGAGCAGAGGGUUUGGGGAACCUGUUUGGCAGGAGGAGGGAUGGCAGGGGAUCUCCUGGCCUCGCGGUGACAUCAUCCCCCAAACAGGCGCCUCUGACGGGGCGAUGCCUGCAGGGACCUCAACGGUGCAUCACCGCAUCCUCCUGCACCCAAAGGUGCUGCGGCCCCGCGGGUGUCCCUGUUGUUGGGGUGGGGGUGGGAUGCGGAGUGGUCCGGUGCAGUGGUACGUUGCCCCGCGGUGCAGAGUGGCUGCUUGGUGGUGCUGGGGGGUGCGGGAGGCAGAGGGAUGGGGGUGAGGCCCCACAAAUGGUGGAGACGGAGCUCUGGGAUGGAAAUCAGCGUCCCUUUGGGGUGACGGGGACGCUGACCCAGGUGGCGGUGGCUGUGCAGGCGGGGCAGGUUCCACCCUCAGCCUCAUCCGCGCUGGGGACCAUCUCCGGGUGAUGCUGGGAGAGGUGAGCGUUGGUUGUGAGCCCCAACGUUUGGGAGAAAACAAGAAAGGAUGGAGGUGGGCGAGCGCAGAGCCGAGGAGCGGCCCCAGCACCGGCAGCGGUGCCCGGAGCGGUGACGUCGGGCGGAGCAUCUCGGCUCCAUCCCAUCCCCAUCCCACCCCGUCGGUGCCGGCGGGCGCGAGGCCGGGGCGGGGAGCUCCGAGAUUCCUCCCCCGCGGGCCGGGGGGAGCGGGGCGGCGCGGCACAGCUCGGCACAGCCCGGCCCCCUGCACCGCCCCGCGCCAUGGAGAGCGGCCGCGCCGGGCGGGAGCCCCAACCCCGAGCUGCGCCCG
rnacentral:lncRNA from 7 species